rnacentral:rRNA from 1 species
UACGGAGGGUGCGAGCGUUGUCCGGAAUCACUGGGCGUAAAGGGCGCGUAGGCGGCGCGGAUAGUCGGCGGUGAAAGCCCGGAGCUCAACUCCGGGUCGGCCGUCGAUACUUCCGGGCUUGAGCACUGUAGAGGCAGAUGGAAUUCCGGGUGUAGCGGUGGAAUGCGUAGAGAUCCGGAAGAACACCGGUGGCGAAGGCGGUCUGCUGGGCAGUUGGCUGACGCUGAUGCGCGACAGCGUGGGGAGCAAACGAGG